GCCGGUAUGGCCAAGUGGUAAGGCGUCGCACUUGUAAUGCGAAGAUCGCUGGUUCAAUUCCGGCUGCUGGCA
rnacentral:tRNA from 3 species